UAACAAGGAUUCCCCUAGUAACGGCGAGCGAAGCGGGAAGAGCUCAAAUUUGAAAGCUGGCGUCUUCGGCGUCCGCGUUGUAAUCUCGAGACGUGUUUUCCGUGCGGCUCUAUGGACAAGUCCCUUGGAACAGGGCAUCGUAGAGGGUGAAAAUCCCGUACUUGCCAUGGAAGUACCGUGCUUUGUGAUACACGCUCCAAGAGUCGAGUAGUUUGGGAUUGCUGCUCAAAGUGGGUGGUAGACUCCAUCUAAAGCUAAAUAUCGGGGAGAGACCGAUAGCGAACAAGUACCGUGAGGGAAAGAUGAAAAGCACUUUGGAAAGAGAGUUAAAAGUACGUGAAAUUGUCGAAAGGGAAGCACUUGAAGUCAGCCAUGCUGCUUGAGACUCAGCCUGGCUUUUGCUUGGUGUAUUUCUCGGUAGCAAGCCAGCAUUGGUUUGUGUCGUCGGAGAAGCGUAUGGGGAAUGUGGCAUCCUCGGAUGUGUUAUAGCCCUGUGCAGGAUACGACGACGUAGACCAAGGAACGCAGUGUGCCCUCUGGGCGGUCUUCGGACACCUUCACACUUAGGAUGCUGGCGUAAU
rnacentral:rRNA from 1 species